ACUUCGACCGCUGUGUUGUUCGGAUGGAGAAUUUAUUCAUAUUUAAUUUUGAAUAUAAUUUAAAGUUGCACAUAUAUUUUAUUAAUUUGUAUGUGUUUUAUUCAUAUUAUUUAUACUAUGUAUAUUUAUUCGCGAGUGUAACAAUUUUGCGUUCUAUUUAUGAGCGUUGGUACAUUUCAUCUCUAUCAUGAAUGAAUAGGAAGCUGUUACUACAAAAAAGAUAAGUAGCUGAUUAUUGAGACUAUUUUCUGCAAAAAAAAAAUUUCAAUAUGGAUACCAUAAUGAUAUUCUAUAUAAAGUUUUAUAAAGAAGAGGUGGUCGCCAUUAGUCCGAGCUUUCCACGGGAACGAAGCAGCUUCGUUUCUUCGCCGGGAUAAUUAUUGAAUGUAGCAUGGAGAAGACUUUGGAGAAGAGAGACCUCAUAACUUAUAUCUUAAUGAGCUUACGCUUGCGAUGUUUUAAUGAAUAUUAAUGAACUCGAAAAUUUUUCUCAUCCCAAAGAGAAAAGUCUGGAUCCGUCCGAAGUUUUUUCACCGAGAAUAAUUGGUCCUAUUCUUGGCCAGAAAGAUUUAUAAAUGGAAAAAAAGAAGAGAGCGAAACAAGCAUCUUUUUCAAUUUAUAAUCACUCUUUUGUUACACGAUAUCGACGAUGUUUACGAUAUCGUCUUUUUCCUUA